rnacentral:tRNA from 1 species
AGCUUUGUAGUUUAGUUGAGAAUUUUUGUUUGUGGUGCAAAAGGAUGGGUGGGCUU